CCUACGGGAGGCAGCAGUGAGGAAUAUUGGUCAAUGGACGAGAGUCUGAACCAGCCAAGUAGCGUGAAGGAUGAAUGCCCUAUGGGUUGUAAACUUCUUUUAUAAAGGAAUAAAACGAGGCACGUGUGCCUUUUUGCAUGUACUUUAUGAAUAAGGAUCGGCUAACUCCGUGCCAGCAGCCGCGGUAAUACGGAGGAUCCGAGCGUUAUCCGGAUUUAUUGGGUUUAAAGGGAGCGUAGAUGGGUUGUUAAGUCAGUUGUGAAAGUUUGCGGCUCAACCGUAAAAGUGCAAUUGAUACUGGCAGUCGUGAGUACAGUUGAGGUAGGCGGAAUUCGUGGUGUAGCGGUGAAAUGCUUAGAUAUCACGAAGAACCCCGAUUGCGAAGGCAGCUUACUAACCUGUGACUGACAUUGAUGCUCGAAAGUGUGGGUAUCAAACAGGAUUAGAUACCCGAGUAGUC
rnacentral:rRNA from 1 species